CACUUUGCAUUGGUUAUACUCACCCCACUAAUCACAUUUUUUCCUUAUUCUUUCUUCGACAAAAUUCAUUCCAGAUUUCCUCCAAAUUGAGAUUAUAAUCACGCGAUUCUCAUCAAUAAUCCAGUAUGGAUGAUUUUCCAAUGAUAUUCAACCCAUUUUCAUCCAAAUCUGCAGCUUAUAUUGGAGAAUUCCACCAUUAAUUUUCGCCAACUUAUUCACGAGAAUCUCAGUUGUCGAUAAUUGGUUCUCGGUUUUUCAAUCCAAAUAUGACGACAUGGCAUGUGAUUCGAUUCUCAAUUUUGAUUUGGAUGUUUUGUCCAGAAGAUUGUUGUAUUAUGUAUUGCAAGUUGCUGGCCACAUAAUGUGUAAUUACAUUAAAUUGCAAUUCAACUAUGAAGGGGAAAAAGUUGUGCAUGCCGUUUGGUGUCCAUGAAGGAGAAGACUGAAGUUUAACAACAAACCAUUGUGUCGGUGUGGAAAAUUUGGAGAACUGUGUCUCCAUGCCUCUAGAAAUGGUGGCAAACAAAGGGUAAAGGAGAUCAAUUAGUUCAUCUCAUAGUACUUCAAUCUUUUAGCCGUAUUACUUUUUACAUAACAAAUUGGAAUGUUAUUCAUUGAAUAUUGCAACGUUACCACGUAGUUUAUGCAGUUGGCAUAUUACUUUAUAUUUUUUGUCUUAUAUAAUUUACGAAACGAUUGCAGAUUUGUUCUCAAAAUAUUGUUUACUA